CUACGGGCUGCUCCAGUGGGGAAUAUUGCACAAUGGAGGAAACUCUGAUGCAGCAACGCCGCGUGGAGGAUGACACUUUUCGGAGCGUAAACUCCUUUUAUAUAGGAAGAAGAUGACGGUACUAUAUGAAUAAGCGCCGGCUAACUCCGUGCCAGCAGCCGCGGUAAUACGGAGGGCGCAAGCGUUACUCGGAAUCACUGGGCGUAAAGAGCGUGUAGGCGGAUUAAAAAGUCAGAAGUGAAAUCCUAUAGCUUAACUAUAGAACUGCUUCUGAAACUCUUAAUCUAGAAUAUGGGAGAGGUAGAGGGAAUUUCUGGUGUAGGGGUAAAAUCCGUAGAGAUCAGAAGGAAUACCGAUUGCGAAGGCGAUCUACUAGAACAUUAUUGACGCUGAGACGUGGAAGCGUGGGGAGCAAACAGGAUUAGAUACCCGUGUAGUC
rnacentral:rRNA from 1 species